rnacentral:piRNA from 1 species
UGCUGUGCACUCUCUCCUCCCUCAACGU